rnacentral:rRNA from 1 species
AAUGAACGCUGGCGGCAUGCCUAACACAUGCAAGUCGAACGAGACCUUGGGGUCUAGUCUCGCAUGGGUGCGUAACGGGUGGGGACCUGCCCUUAUGUUUGAAAUAACUCCCCGAAUGGGGUGCUAAUACCGGAUAAUGUCUUCGGACCAAAGAUUUAUCGCCUUGGGUGGGUCCCUCGUUGAAUUAGAUUGUGGUUAGACUAAAAGCUUACUAAGGGGACGAUCCAUAACUGGUUUGAGAGGAUGAUCAGCCACACUGGGACUGGGCCGCGGCCGAGACUCCUGCGGGAAGCAGCAGUGGGGAAUAUUGGAAAGUCGGGUGAAGCAUGAACCUGCAAUGACGCGUGAGUGAUGUAGGCCUUAGGGUUGUAAAGCUAUUUUACCCGGGAUGAUAAUGACAGUACCGAGAGAAUAAGCUCCGGCUAACUCCGUG